rnacentral:lncRNA from 1 species
UCGCUCAAAAUGGCUUGAUUACACCCAAGUAAGCUCAUGAAUACUGUAUUUUUCUGUCUCUUAGCAGUUCCCCACUGCAGCCCUCUACCACUCUCCUGCUAAAGAAGUAAUGGAGGAGACAAGGAACUCUCGCCCGUGAGCUGUGUUCUGAAUCAUGGCAUAGAGAGAGGUCUGUUUUUAACUGUGCAUGUUGUGAGAUGAUGUUUUCUCAAGAAAGCUGUGUUUGCCACUGAGGACACUUCUCUUAACAAGAGAAAGAAGAGGUUCCGGGGACGUGGUUGUUCUUUUAAGCUGAUUCACAGGAACGAUGCAAUGCCUGCUUUUCACUCAAUUAAAGAAAUCAAGGAAUUCACAUGUUGUGUUGUAUUUUUGUUCAGCUUAGAAGAGCGCUAGGAGAUUUCUUUCU